GGGGAAUAUUGGACAAUGGGCGAAAGCCUGAUCCAGCAACGCCGCGUGAGGGAUGACGGCCUUCGGGUUGUAAACCUCUUUCAGCAGGGACGAAGCGAAAGUGACGGUACCUGCAGCAUAAGCACCGGCCAACUACGUGCCAGCAGCCGCGGUAAUACGUAGGGAGCAAGCGUUGUCCGGAAUCAUUGGGCGUAAAGCGCGCGUAGGCGGCCUCAUAAGUCCGUUGUGAAAGUCAAAGGCUCAACCUUUGAAAGCCGAUGGAUACUGUGAGGCUAGAGUCCGGAAGAGGCGAGUGGAAUUCCUGGUGUAGCGGUGGAAUGCGCAGAUAUCAGGAGGAACACCAAUAGCGAAGGAAGCUCGCUGGGACGGUACUGACGCUAAGGCGCGAAAGCGUGGGGAGCGAACA
rnacentral:rRNA from 1 species